CGCCCGGCGGCGUGCCUACAUACCUGCCAAGUCGAGCCGAACUGGCCUAAUAGAGCUUGCUCUCUACUGAAAGUUAGCGGCGGAACGGGUGAGUAACACGUGGGUAACCUGCCCAUAAGACUGGGAUAACUCCGGGAAACCGGGGCUAAUACCGGAUAACAUUUUGAACCGCAUGGUUCGAAAUUGAAAGGCGGCUUCGGCUGUCACUUAUGGAUGGACCCGCGUCGCAUUAGCUAGUUGGUGAGGUAACGGCUCACCAAGGCAACGAUGCGUAGCCGACCUGAGAGGGUGAUCGGCCACACUGGGACUGAGACACGGCCCACACUCCUACGGGAGGCAGCAGUAGGGGAAUCUUCCGCAAUGGACGAAAGUCUGACGGA
rnacentral:rRNA from 1 species